rnacentral:lncRNA from 1 species
AUUUGGCAUAGUAUUAGAAGACAUGACUAUCAAGCUACACAUCAAUUUUGAGCUUAAAUUAAUUAUUGAAGAAGGAAAAAAAUGCUACGAGAACAUCUGCAUCAACUUUUGAGUUAGUAGUUGAGUAACAUCAAUGAGGUUUUUCAGAAUUUUUUUCACAAUUUAUUAGUUGGAUUGGAUUGAAUUUUUUUGAGCACAUAAAAGACUUAUAGUAGAAUUUGUAUUCAUGAUUUUAUACCAAGUAGAUAGUCAAAUUAGAAGUUAUAGCUUGCUAAAGCUCAUUGAUUAAGGUUAAGUAUCACAGACAUAU